GCGCCGGCGCCGGUGGCAGAGGCAGAGGCUAGGUGACGGAGCCGCGCGUCGCCACAGCGUACGCGGCGGGGCGGCAGGAGCCCGUGUGCGCGGGGGUAAGGACGCUUACGAGCAACAGCCGUUGCCGAAAAUAAAAUGAGCAGCGGGUGAGCGCACUGUUGCAUCUGAGGCGCCUACAGUCUAACGGCGGGGCACGGGUCGGCGCCUGCCGUGCGAAUUCGUCACCCGCUGACGUCAUCGGCGCCUAAUGACUGCCGCUACGCCACCAACCGCCGGUGGGAUAUUAGCGACGCCUGGCACUCGCCGCGUGUCACGAGGCGAAGAGAAACACAACCGGUGCAACUGAUUAAAAGGGUAUGUAUGGGAAAAUGAAGUGGCAGAUCAACCAAAACAGACGUCCGCCAGUGCAGCCAGGAUGAGAAAAAUGAGAAGUCACCGCAAAGAAGAAAAUCCACGGUUUCAGAAAGAAUAAAAUAAAAGGAAAAAUGAAAUUAAGAAACAUAAAAAAGUAUGACAGAACUGGAACUCCAGGAGCUUCGAAAGAAGAAGGGUGAUCGAAAGCGCUUUCAGAGGGCAAAAAAGAAGGAUGCUAUUCUUCUGCGCAUCCCAGCACUAACUAUAUCACCAUACCGACGUCCUCAGACAUUCGGCAAGGCUUUAUCCAAAUCUAUUCGGGCACUUCCCACAUCCCCUAGGAAGAGGUAUCUGUAGUUGAAGGACUGGAAAAGAAAGUUGGCCUGGCCCUUACAAAUGAAAUGCAUAAGAAAAUAUCCUGUAACCACAAUAAAGAUUAUUCCCAAGUUGCCGAGUUCCUCUUUCGCCCAGAUAUUGUAUACACC